rnacentral:lncRNA from 1 species
UGAUUAGGCGGGACAUGGAACAGUUACAGCUCACCGAGGACAUGACCCUAGAUAGGAAGGUCUGGAGGGCGCGAAUUACGGCAGAGGAUUAGGGCCAGUUUGGGUCGCUAGUGUAGGGAAUUACUUGGUGGGGGUUUUAUUCCUGUUAUGAUUCCGUGUUCCGUGUUCCAUGUUUCAUUACGAAUCUGUGUGCUUUCCUCUG